UACGUAGGGGGCGAGCGUUGUCCGGACUUAUUGGGCGUAAAACGCUUGUAGGUGGCUACGUCAAGUCGGACGUGAAAUCUCCCGGCUUAACUGGGAGGGGUCGCUCGAUACUGGCGAGCUCGAGGCAGGUAGGGGGAAGCGGAAUUCCCGGUGUAGUGGUGGAAUGCGUAGAUAUCGGGAGGAACACCAGUGGCGAAGGCGGCUUCCUGGACCUGUUCUGACACUGAGGAGCGAAAGCGUGGGGAGCGAUCCGG
rnacentral:rRNA from 1 species